rfam:Arcobacter cryaerophilus strain AZT-1 contig003, whole genome shotgun sequence.
AAGCUAGGACGACCUAGCCUCUUUACUCAUUCAAGGACGGCCUUA